UUGUUUCAGCAGCAAAUAUACUAAAAUUGGAACGAUACAGAGAAGAUUAGCAUGGCCCUUGCACAAAGAUGACAUAUAAAUUCGUGAAGUGUUCCCUAUUUUA